rnacentral:rRNA from 1 species
GACGAACGCUGGCGGCGUGCUUAACACAUGCAAGUCGAGCGGAGCGGCGAACGGGUGAGUAACGCGUGAGUAACUGCCCCCCUCCCUGUGAUAACAGUUGGAAACGGCUGCUAAUACCGGAUAGUGGGGGAUGACUCGCGUCCUAUCAGCUUGUUGGUGGGGUAGUGGCCUCCCAAGGCGACGACGGGUAGCCGGCCUGAGAGGGCGACCGGCCACAUUGGGCUGAGAUAGAGCCCCAACCUCUACCGGCGGGAGGAGUGGCGAAUCUUGCGCAACGGGGGAAUCCUCGAUGCAGUAACGACGAGUGCGUGAGGACGGCACUUGGGUUGAAAACGGCUUUCCGCCAUGACGCGGUAGUGGCAGAAGAAGCACCGGCUAACUACGUUCCAGCCGCCGCGGUAAUAC